rnacentral:rRNA from 1 species
AACCCGCUGAACUUAAGCAUAUCAGUAAGCGGAGGAAAAGAAACUAACAAGGAUCCCCUUAGUAACGGCGAGUGAAA